GAUGAACGCUAGCGGCAGGCUUAAUACAUGCAAGUCAAGGGGGUAGCAAUACAACCGGCGCACGGGUGAGUAACGCGUACACAACAUACCAUAUACUGGAGUAUAGCUUUGGGAAACUGAAGGUAAUCCUCCAUAACAUUGCGAGAGGGCAUCUGAUUGCAAUUAAAGUUUCGGCGGUAUAUGAUUGGUGUGCGUUUGAUUAGCUAGUUGGUAGGGUAACGGCCUACCAAGGCGACGAUCAAUAGCUGGCGUGAGAGCGCGACCAGCCACACUGGAACUGAGACACGGUCCAGACUCCUACGGGAGGCAGCAGUAGGGAAUAUUGGACAACGGAGGAAACUCUGAUCCAGCCAUGCCGCGUGAUAGAUGAAGGCCCUCUGGGUUGUAAAUAUCUUUUAUCUGGGAAGAAACACUCCUAUUCUUAGGAACUUGACGGUACCAGAGGAAUAAGCACCGGCUAACUCCGUGCCAGCAGCCGCGGUAAU
rnacentral:rRNA from 1 species